rnacentral:rRNA from 1 species
AACGAACGCUGGCGGCAUGCCUAACACAUGCAAGUCGAACGAGACCUUCGGGUCUAGUGGCGCACGGGUGCGUAACGCGUCGGAACCUGCCCUUAGGUUCGGAAUAACUCCCCGAAAGGGGUGCUAAUACCGGAUAAUGUCUUCGGACCAAAGAUUUAUCGCCUUUGGAUGGGCCCGCGUUGGAUUAGCUAGUUGGUAGGGUAAAAGCCUACUAAGGCGACGAUCCAUAGCUGGUCUGAGAGGAUGAUCAGCCACACUGGGACUGAGACACGGCCCAGACUCCUACGGGAGGCAGCAGUGGGGAAUAUUGGACAAUGGGCGAAAGCCUGAUCCAGCAAUGCCGCGUGAGUGAUGAAGGCCUUAGGGUUGUAAAGCUCUUUUACCCGGGAUGAUAAUGACAGUACCGGGAGAAUAAGCUCCGGCUAACUCCGUG